GAUGAACGCUGGCGGCGUGCUUAACACAUGCAAGUCGAACGAAGCACUUUAUUUGAUUUCCUUCGGGACUGAUUAUUUUGUGACUGAGUGGCGGACGGGUGAGUAACGCGUGGGUAACCUGCCUUGUACAGGGGGAUAACAGUUGGAAACGGCUGCUAAUACCGCAUAAGCGCACGGCAUCGCAUGAUGCAGUGUGAAAAACUCCGGUGGUAUAAGAUGGACCCGCGUUGGAUUAGCUAGUUGGUGGGGUAACGGCCCACCAAGGCGACGAUCCGUAGCCGACCUGAGAGGGUGACCGGCCACAUUGGGACUGAGACACGGCCCAAACUCCUACGGGAGGCAGCAGUAGGGAAUAUUGCACAAUGGGCGAAAGCCUGAUGCAGCGACGCCGCGUGAGCGAAGAAGUAUUUCGGUAUGUAAAGCUCUAUCAGCAGGGAAGAAGAAAUGACGG
rnacentral:rRNA from 1 species